rnacentral:rRNA from 1 species
GAAACGCAGAUCAAUGGAUAUGUAGUGACAGGCGCUUUAGCUUCAAAGAAUGUCCUUCACUGGCGAGUUCCUGGCCCUGAGUGCCCUCUCGAGCCUCAGGAUGGAGAAGUCAUUGCUUAUAUGCAACACUUAGACCGGGGCUUCAGCCUUCCCGGUUCAAAAAAUUUCCGGGAUGUCCUUGCCAGCUUUCAACUCCAUCCACAAGACAUUGGACCAAAUUCCGUGUCAAACAUAUGCAACUUUCAAGUAUUUUUUGAAGUUUACCUUCAAGAAGAACCAUCUGUCGAGCUGUUCCGGGACUUCUUCCACUUAAACCGCCGAACCGAGUUUUCUGAUGGCCCUAACACAGAACUUGGCAGGGUAUCAAUCUAG